rnacentral:lncRNA from 1 species
UUAUUGGUAUAGAUAUUUAAUACUGUGAUGUUUUUCUCCCUGCGCGCAGCUUAGCCAUGUUCCACAGUCCGCAGCAUGUGGCGCCUCUCUCUCCUUUCAUCUUCCGUGACUCCUGCUUGGCAGACUCGCUGUGUCGUCAGGAGGAGUGCUGUGCACGGGGGUUUACAGGGAUGGAGCGGAAGGAGACGGGGCAGGACUCGAACGAUGAGGAGACACCCUCAAAGCGGGAACUGGCCACACGACAGAAAUAGAGAAGGCAGGAAAAAAUCCCGAAUUUCUCGAUUGUUCCAAGGAGAGGAAGAAUGGAAGAAACAGCAGCUUUCACCUUGGAGCAGGGCCUGAGAGCUGUAGCGUGUCUCCCAGGCCAGCGCUGCCACUGGGACUCUGGGACCAAACAGUAGGCAGGCCCAGGGACUGCGGGGGGGGGGGGGGGGGGGGGGGGGCGGGGCAUUGUAAAUGAGUGCUGUAAUUUGGUUGCAUUUUCUAAUAAAACAAAUGACUGCCCAACA